GGCUCCUCCUUAUCUGAGGCCUGGGACCGGCCUACAAGCUGCCAUUGGGUCCAUUCCAGGUCUGACACGUGAUUCUCAUUGUAGGAAACAGUAAUUCUAUGAUCUGUUAGGAGAGGUUCAGAAAGAAGAGUUGCAUGGUCAAAUAGAUGUGGGUGACCUUGGAUUCCCCAGUUACGUAGCUUGACCUCAGACUUCUCAGAGCCUUUAACGUAUUGUGUAUGUUGAGGAUUUCCAGGGGGCAGGGAAUAUGUGGGCAACGUUCUGAAACUUAACCGAUGAUAAAACACCUUUAUCCCAGAGUGUCUAAAGGAUUAUACCUUUUAACGACGCAGAAGAGUGCCAGGCCAGAGGAGGUGGCUUCAGGGUGGACACUGACACCUGAAGGUGAAAUCUAGUUCCACACAUCACUGUUUCCUUCUUCUUUUGUAGAUCUAAAAUGAGACUCUCACCCUAGAAUUAUAAAAGAGAAAAAUGUUUACAGGAAGGCGCAUUUAAGAAAAUUUUCAAGGAAGGUACAUUUGAGAAAUACAGCUUGCCUGAGGAAGCAAAAUUGAUAAUACCUUGUGAUUCAGCCACACUUGGCUUGAGCUCAGCAAGUCCUGAUGCCUCCCUGGGCAUCAGCUUUCCCAUGAGCAACCAUACAAGGUAAUUGGAAACGUCAAGGAAGACAAUGGGCGUGGAAGUGAUUUAUAAAGCAUAUACCCUAUAGUGUGCUGUGCACAUGGAACGGCGUUGGAGAUGAGAGAAUGGUGAUGAAGAUGAUAAAAUUGCUGGAUUUUUAGGUUAAAAGUUGUGAUAAACAGACAAGUGGGGUUAUUAAAGGCAAAAUGCUACUUUCUCUAUUUAAUACCUGUCCUGGGGCUAUUGCUGCUGGAAAUCAAAGCAAUACUACUGUCCCACCCCCCCUUGCA